GCCUUGGUAGCUCAGUCGGUAGAGCAAGAGACUCUCCAGCUUAGGGUUGUGAGUUCGAGUCCCAUGUUGGGGCA